rnacentral:rRNA from 1 species
AGUGAACGCUGGCGGUAGGCCUAACACAUGCAAGUCGAACGGCAGCACAGUAAGAGCUUGCUCUUACGGGUGGCGAGUGGCGGACGGGUGAGGAAUACAUCGGAAUCUACUUUUUCGUGGGGGAUAACGUAGGGAAACUUACGCUAAUACCGCAUACGACCUACGGGUGAAAGCAGGGGAUCUUCGGACCUUGCGCGAUUGAAUGAGCCGAUGGCGGAUUAGUUAGUUGGCGGGGUAAAGGCCCACCAAGGCGACGAUCCGUAGCUGGUCUGAGAGGAUGAUCAGCCACACUGGAACUGAGACACGGUCCAGACUCCUACGGGAGGCAGCAGUGGGGAAUAUUGGACAAUGGGCGCAAGCCUGAUCCAGCCAUACCGCGUGGGUGAAGAAGGCCUUCGGGUUGUAAAGCCCUUUUGUUGGGAAAGAAAAGCAGCAGGUUAAUACCCCGCUGUUCUGACGGUACCCAAAGAAUAAGCACCGGCUAACUUCGUG